rnacentral:lncRNA from 1 species
AUGGUAAAGAAAAAUAAUAAUAACGAAGUCAUCUCCACCUGGCAGGCAGGGAAGGCGACGCUGUGCCAACAGGCUGGCAGCCAGGGCGAGGGGCAUCAUGUCAGGCAGCUGGUGCCCACGAGGUGUUCCUUCUUCCAGAGCCGCUCCGGCCCGGCCCGCAGCUGGUUUCGAUGGGCAAGAAGAUGUUUUGGACCCUCCGAGUUUGUCUGUGCAUUAGCCAACAUAGGAAACUGCUCAGGAGGGCUUUUCCCCUCCGUUCCUUGGCGGAAGGGCGAGGAUGAGCUCUGCAGCAGAUCCAUGGAGGCCCUUCUAGCAGACCGGAGACGCUCAUCCACAUGGCUGUUCACAAGCUCUCCAGCAUCCAGCUGGGUACUUAGCUCAGCCUUUCCCCAUUACUUUCCCUUUUCUGGAGGGGAAAACCAGCGUUUGUACCAUCCUCUUUUGGAGGAUCUAAAAAGCAGUGCCCAAAAAUGGCCGCUGAAACUGGCUCAGCUCCAGUUCAGCUAAACUGGCGUUGCGCGCUGGGGACCUGCCUUGGCGCAGGGGGACAAGGCUACACUAACGGCCAUGCAGAAAUGAAUUAAAUGAUUAUUCCUGAAGCAUCACAUCUCACUCUUGCCCACGUGACAUUAAGCAAACUGCGUUAUUAUCAAAUAAGGCCGCUGUUCUCACCUUUGGUCUAUAUUUGACUAGAUAGGUUUGGUGGUCUGCAUCCAACAGCAAGUUAAUAGCUGAACAGGGCAUAAACUCAGAUGUUUUAACAUGUCUACUGCUUGAAGAGCAGCGUUUUCACUGUUUGCUGUAGUUUCACUAGGAGGUUCUAGGCACAAACCCACCGGUUCCUUCACAGCUCUUGUGCCAAGGCCUUACAACAGAAAUGGGGUUCGAGUCCUGCAGCACAUGAGCAGAAGUUUCCUCAACAUAUGAAGAGCUUUCCCAGCUUAUCCUGACCAAACGGUCUUUGGUGUCCUGCCCCUUGGCUCUUACCUGUGUCAAGGAGACAAGCCCUACUGCGUUCCAGCAUCUGCAAGACCUUCCUUUUAGGCAGCUCCUCUGCACUGUGAUGGGGCAGUGAUUUUAACAGGAUCGCUUACCCACGACAUAUUUUUUCCUUGCAGGCUGUAGCUACCUUUGGUUUAACUUCUGCUCUUCAGAUGGGUCACAAGGGAAUUAAUUCAAGCACAUUAAGUUCAAAUUGAUAUUCUGAGGGCAUAUAAAAAAAUCCCUAAUACACAACUCACCUUUUUUCUACCGAGGCAAGCCAAAGGAGCUCCAACAGCAUCAAUGGGACUUUAUCAGUGUAAAACAAGAGGACUCCCCAUUUGACCUCAUCAGGGCUAGCUGCCAGGACCUGAGGACCACAGGGCACCGCAGGCCAGGGUGGUCCUGCUGCUGCCCUUUGGACGUGCAGAGAAGAGAUUCACCCUUCUGUGAGUGAAGCCCCUAGAGGCAGGACAGAGCUGACUUUCUCCAGCCGUUGGUGGGGCGGCUCAGGAUAUUGCAGGUCUGCACCCUCGUUAGGCAAACUCCUGCCAGGUGUCGAGGUGCUUCGCCUCUCGCGGGACCAGGCCCACUGGCAAACUUCACUUUCCUCUGCAAGUUUUUCAUGAAAGGUCUGGCUCCUCCUGCAAGGUUGGGAGAAAAGCAAAGAACAGGGGUAUUCUGGAGACACAAGUAAAAUUCUUUGAAUUUUCACUUUUUCCUACCCAAUUAAGCCCAUAAUGCCAUUUUAUUUUUAGUUUAAAAAUUCACAAUGUUAUCAACUGAGGGAACUGAACUGAUUUCAGGAGAGCUUGGAUUAGGUGCUAAAAUAGAUCUCUCAGAUUCCAGGAAACUGUAAACGGCCCAUCCCAGGAUAUAUUUAUUGUAGCCUGCAGAUCAGAGCACUCACUAGUAUUACCUCAUGCCAGCUGGGCAGAGUUUCAACAUUUUUCACAUUAUUUUCCUCCAUGUGCUUCAACCAAACUUCCUUUCUGUAAGAGAAGCAUUUAUGAGAAACAGAAACAACUUGCAACAAGCAUUGCAAUCUCAAGGCUACAGACAGAGAAGCAGCUGGUUUUUUGUUACUAGCCUUUUCAGCUUUUCAGCCUGGUACCCUACCAUUGCACAGCAGCCUUCAGCCCUGCCUUAACCCCUUGCAGCCCAGAGGGCGCAGCGGGAGGCACGCGUGCUGCCUACGGGCCGGGACGCUGGACGGUGGCUGGGUGCUUGUUAUCAGGGAGCCAGCGUAUCCCUGGCUCAGCGAAGGCUGCGCACCAAUGUGAUACGCCUGGGUUAGCCACUGCAAAGGGAGCUAACGGGUUCUGGGUUUGAUGGGGAAAAGGGAGGAAGCAAGCAGGGAAGGAAAUGAGAAAGGGUCUGCCUUAGAGCUGGUCUCUCUAGGAUGGAGGGAGAUAGGACCGCACAGGUAGGCAGCGAUGAGAAGAGGUGGGGAAGGGAAAGGGGAUGAAUCCGAGGUCCGGGAGCCGCAGGCUGCUGGGAGGGGAGCGGCGCUGGAGGAGUUUAAAAGAGCAGCAGGUAGCAAGGGAAAACAAAAAAGCUGGGCCCCCAAAAAGCUGGGCCUGGAAGGACUGUUGAGUACUGGUGGGCAUGGAAAGGUCACGAUACGCUGAUGGAAGGAAGCAGACAGAGCAGCAAGGAAGCAGAUAAGAGGGUCUCGCUCACCACCCUCCCUCUCUUCCCUUCCACAAAGCCACGCUCCAUCCUGUGGUUAUCGACCUUCCCUGCCCGAACACGGCACCUCGGCCCCGCUCCCUCCCCGGGGCUCACUGGCAUCCGCCCGAGGCAGAUUUCUGCGGCAGCCCUCCCUCGUCACCAGCGCCCGAGCAGGGCUUCCCCACCGCAGACCUUCUCUGCUGGUCUGAUUCAAGCGCCAGGGAGAGGAGAGCUCCAAGCAAAGCCUGCCGUAAGCGCUUGGCACAAUGCACGCACUUCACGUGCAGCAGCUGAAGGCCUUUCCCUCUGCCCAUUUAAAAAAAAAUAUCCAUACAAGCGCUACCUCUCCAUUGAGAAUCGUGAAGUCUGGACAUAGACGGGUGGAGGAUCCCUCUUGUCACCCAUGUUCCAUAAAUCACAUCACCCAGCUCCCACUGCUCCUUUAGUCUCAGCUUUACUGCGGGGUUGGGUGUUACCCUCCGUGAACGACUCCUUGGCUUGGCCAGCAGACCAGCUCUUAGAAAAGCUACGGCCAGCCCUGCUCUGCCACAGCUACCCGGCGCGAUCCGCAGGAAACCGCUCUGCCCCAGGCUUUCUGGUACAGGAUUUUGACAACGUUUACAAGUCUAAUUCCUAACCAUUUCUGUGAGAGGUAAAUAUCCAGCCUCCCCAUCUCAGCCCAAGCUCAUUCUUUUUCCACACAUUAGGGAUUUGAAAUCCAAGGGUCAUCUGCCUUAUACGUACCUCAUGCACAGCGCAGGGUGAAGGAGCCUUUGGCGGGGAGCUUGUUAGGAAGCUGGCGGGCUCCUUUACUGCUGCUCUGGCAUAUAACUUUACCUGGAGGCGAAUGCAAAAUAAAUGCUGGGUGCAUUUCCA